CCUACGGGUGGCAGCAGUCGAGAAUCAUUCACAAUGGGGGAAACCCUGAUGGUGCGACGCCGCGUGGGGGAAUGAAGGUCUUCGGAUUGUAAACCCCUGUCAUGUGGGAGCAAAUUAAAAAGAUAGUACCACAAGAGGAAGAGACGGCUAACUCUGUGCCAGCAGCCGCGGUAAUACAGAGGUCUCAAGCGUUGUUCGGAAUCACUGGGCGUAAAGCGUGCGUAGGCUGUUUCGUAAGUCGUGUGUGAAAGGCGCGGGCUCAACCCGCGGACGGCACAUGAUACUGCGAGACUAGAGUAAGGGAGGGGGAACCGGAAUUCUCGGUGUAGCAGUGAAAUGCGUAGAUAUCGAGAGGAACACUCGUGGCGAAGGCGGGUUCCUGGACAGUAACUGACGCUGAGGCACGAAGGCCAGGGGAGCGAAAGGGAUUAGAUACCCUAGUAGUC
rnacentral:rRNA from 1 species